UACGGAGGGCGCGAGCGUUAAUCGGAAUUACUGGGCGUAAAGCGCGCGUAGGCUGUUGUGUAAGUUGGGGGUGAAAUCCCACGGCUCAACCGUGGAACAGCCCUUGAUACUGCGCGACUUGAAUCCGGGAGAGGGUGGCGGAGUUCCAGGUGUAGGAGUGAAAUCCGUAGAUAUCUGGAGGAACAUCAGUGGCGAAGGCGGCCACCUGGACCGGUAUUGACGCUGAGGCGCGAAAGCGUGGGGAGCAAACAGG
rnacentral:rRNA from 1 species